rnacentral:rRNA from 1 species
CCUACGGGUGGCAGCAGUGAGGAAUAUUGGUCAAUGGACGCAAGUCUGAACCAGCCAAGUCGCGUGAAGGAUGACGGCCCUAUGGGUUGUAAACUUCUUUUGUAAGGGAGUAAACGCAGGCACGUGUGCCUUUCUGUAUGUACCUUAUGAAUAAGGAUCGGCUAACUCCGUGCCAGCAACCGCGGUAAUACGGAGGAUUCGAGCGUUAUCCGGAUUUAUUGGGUUUAAAGGGAGCGUAGGUGGGCGGUUAAGUCAGUGGUGAAAUUUUGAGGCUCAACCUUAGAAUUGCCAUUGAUACUGGUAGGCUAGAGUGCAGUUGAGGUAGGCGGAAUGCGUGGUGUAGCGGUGAAAUGCUUAGAGAUCACGAAGAACUCCGAUUGCGAAGGCAGCUUACCAACCUGCUACUGACGUUGAGGCACGAAAGCGUGGGGAUCAAACAGGAUUAGAUACCCUAGUAGUC